CCAAUUUCAAUAUUUGUUAACGAUUAUUGUAUUUAGUUUUUACUCGAUUAAAACUCAUAAUUGAUCAAUCAAGAUCAUUCAGUUAAAUUUAAACACUUUCAUGCUAUGAAAGCAUCAUUGCUGCUGAUGUAACAAAAUGCUUAAUGAUAUGUUAACAUCAUAAAAUCUACCUUGAUAGGGUUCUUGCCAGUGAUCACCCUAUUCCUUCAAGACAAAUCACAAAGACCACAUUCAAGGAAGAAAACUUCCCUCUUUCAGCAUAUCACAUCUGGUUAAUUCUUCAAUUUCCUGUAAUUGAGAAGGGAAAAAGCAUAUGCGUAAACAGCUUCAAAUGAGGAAACUUCAACUAUGGAGGCUAAAAUGAUGAAGAAAUCGGUGGCAUUCGCUCCGUGAUCUUUGUUUUCAAACUCUGCAAGAUUGGCAACAACUUUGUUCAAACAAACACUAUCUUUCGAUUCUCGUAAAACCUCAACAGCUUCAGCCAUCUCAGUACAUCCUGUAAUAUUUAACGUAGCUGAAGCAUCUUUUCCUAAUGAAGUUAUGCUCUGACCUAAUUGCCCUGACCCAAUUAUAAUGACUGGUAUGCAGUGCCAUUAACUUUUCAAUGUACCUUUAGCUAAAGAUCAAUGAUGACAUGUAAUGUUGCAUCUUGUUGAUCAGUACAGGAGUGGAUUUUUGCAGAUUAGUAACCAGCCACUCAUAAUCCGACAAUGUAGCUUCAAAUAAAGGCUCCAAAAACUCACAUCUGGCCAGAAUUUCAGUCGGGGGUACUCCAGCAAUUAAGUUAUCGCCCUCCAAUUUGUUUUGUUUCAAGUCUUGAGGCAGCACGGAUUGCCUAUAAAGAGAAUACAAACUUAUUAGUCACAUUAUCGUGUUUACUGAUCGCUAAUAUGAAGGAGAUAACAAUGUGAAUAUCGAAGUAGAAUGGCAGGCAGCUAGCACCAGACUUGGGAACAACAACAGCAACACUAGACAUACGUUUGACAGCAGGAAGAACAUCACUAAUCCACCCAACAGCAACCCAUACAUCUCCAAUUGCAAAUGCCUUCAGAUGGUAUGUACUGUCAAACAGUCGAACCUAUGUAAAACCCAAUAAACGCAGAUGUUGUCAUAUUGUUACCAGUAUCGAUAAAGAUAUUAGCAUCUAAAACAAAUUAUUGUAUAAUAUAAACAAUGGGGAGGAGCAUGGGCAUUCUACAUAUUGUUAGACAUCUUGAAGCCCCCAUAAUAGGAUUGAUCAAAUGUUAGGUAACCUAAAAGAUGCGACAACUAUCUUUCAUAUUACAUGUGCCCUUAACUCAAACCGGGCAAAGUAUACAAUAACUAGAACUUAUAGAUGCCUACGCCAUACCAAAACUUUGUUGAAAUUUCCUGGAUCCACCUGAUUGCACCUACUAUCCCCCUUCAUUACAGCUAAUAACCACAUAAUUUAAUUUUUUUGAAAUUGGCAUGCCAGACAAAUUUGGUCAAUUACAAACAUAUUUCUGCCUAAAAAUGCAUCCAUCAAAGGACACUGACUUCUUGUUGUCACUUCAUUUUGUUAGUCUCUACUGCUCGCGCGUUCACAUUAAGUAAAUGAACCAAAUGGAGCCAAUUUACCCACACCACAUUAUAAUGGAUUUUCAUUGUUUUGGGUUUUUGUUAAUUUAAUGAGACAGAAUCUCACAUCCUUUGCCAUUUCUUCAGCUAAAUUUAGGAGCAAAAGCCUUUAUUGCAUCCAUCUCAGGAGAGAACACCAACAUAUGUGUUAAUAUGUAUGAAAAGGAAAAGACAACACUAACAUAUGCAUUUAUAUGUAUGAAAAGGAGAAGAAAACACUAACAUAUGCAUUCAUAUGUAUGAAGAAGCAGACUUUUACAAACAAAAUCAGUUGUCAGGCAAUAACAUGCAAUGACCAGAUAUNN
rnacentral:lncRNA from 1 species